AACAACCUGCCAGAGGUCUUCGGGUUUCUCAGCGCCCUUGCAGCCUUCUUUGGAGAAGACAUCAGUGUUCUGAUUCGUGUUCAAGAUGAAACUACCCCGGAAGUAGCACAGCUUCUGCCUGUCACACCCUGCAUUGUAUCAAAUGGGUCAUCAAUCCUUACAGCUUCUGACUUUAUGUUGGUCGUUGACAAAGAGAUCGUGAUCACGGGAAUCCAAUCGCCACUGCAAGCGUUGAUGUUGAUGUUUGCAGCCUUCUAUAACUUCAACAUUGAGUAUCCAUCAAAGGGGCAGGCACUUCUGGAGCUUGUUCAACGGUCAGUACAUGUUGCACUUAUUCUCACUUUUCAUUGUUACACAUAGAUUUGCUGCACUACUAUCCUGUCACUAGAA